rnacentral:rRNA from 1 species
GACGUAGGGCGCGAGCGUUGUCCGGAUUUAUUGGGCGUAAAGAGCUCGUAGGCGGUGUGUCGCGUCGGUCGUGAAAACUUUCAGCUUAACUGGGAGCUUGCGGUCGAUACGGGCAUCACUGGAGUUCGGCAGGGGAGACUGGAAUUCCUGGUGUAGCGGUGAAAUGCGCAGAUAUCAAGGGAGGGAACACCGGUGGGCGAAGGCGGGUCUCUGGGCCGAUAACUGAC